AUAAAUUCCAUCCAACACCAGGAAUAACAGACUUCAUUCCAACCAAUCUGAAUUUACAGAAUUCUUGUAAUCACAGACUUUCUCUGUUGAAAUACACACACACAACUCUCAAUAAAUAACAAUUAUAAUCUUCCAUCCAUAAUCAAUCUUCCAAUAACUUCUUAUAUAGUUCAAUCACUUUGUACUCCAAUUGCAUAAUAAAUAACUCAUAAAUCAAUCUUUGAUUUAUUCCACAGAUUCACUUUUCAAUAUUCAAAAACUAUCCAUUACUCUUCAACAACAAAGAAAACAAAAAAAAAAAAUAAACAAAGAGGAAGCACCAAGCUUAAUCCCGGCUCAUAACUAUCAUAGUCUGGCCUCUCAACAAACUUCUACAACUCCUAUAUAAUUGCUACUGAUUUCUAGAUUCUAACCGUAAUCCUAUAAUAACCACUUUUAAUAACUGAAUCAAUCAUCCGUCCUCC
rnacentral:lncRNA from 1 species